rnacentral:rRNA from 1 species
AGCGAACGCUGGCGGCAGGCCUAACACAUGCAAGUCGAGCGCCCCGCAAGGGGAGCGGCAGACGGGAUAGUAACACGUGGGAACGUACCUUUCAGUUCGGAACAACCAAGGGAAACUUUGGCUAAUACCGAAUACGCCCGUAAGGGGAAAGAUUUAUCGCUGAAAGAUCGGCCCGCGUCUGAUUAGCUAGUUGGUGAGGUAAUGGCUCACCAAGGCGACGAUCAGUAGCUGGUCUGAGAGGAUGAUCAGCAUCACUGGGACUGAGACACGGCCCAGACUCCUACGGGAGGCAGCAGUGGGGAAUAUUGGACAAUGGGCGCAAGCCUGAUCCAGCCAUGCCGCGUGAGUGAUGAAGGCCUUAGGGUUGUAAAGCUCUUUCGUCAGGGAAGAUAAUGACGGUACCUGAAGAAGAAGCCCCGGCUAACUUCGUGCCAGCAGCCGCGGUAAUAC